rnacentral:rRNA from 1 species
AACGAACGCUGGCGGCAGGCCUAACACAUGCAAGUCGAGCGAGGACUUCGGUCCUAGCGGCGGACGGGUGAGUAACGCGUGGGAACGUGCCCUUUGCUUCGGAAUAGCCUUGGGAAACUGGGAGUAAUACCGAAUGUGCCCUUCGGGGGAAAGAUCUAUCGGCAAAGGAUCGGCCCGCGUUGGAUUAGGUAGUUGGUGGGGUAACGGCCUACCAAGCCGACGAUCCAUAGCUGGUUUGAGAGGAUGAUCAGCCACACUGGGACUGAGACACGGCCCAGACUCCUACGGGAGGCAGCAGUGGGGAAUCUUGGACGAUGGGCGCAAGCCUGAUCCAGCCAUGCCGCGUGAGUGAUGAAGGCCUUAGGGUUGUAAAGCUCUUUCAGUGGGGACGAUAAUGACGGUACCCACAGAAGAAGCCCCGGCUAACUUCGUGCCAGCCGCCGCAGUAAUAC